GUUCUGGAAAAUGUCCGCUGCUCCCCUAUGGUUCAUCAUAAUAUAUGACUGUAACUAAUCCAGAGUGCAGAGGUUGAGUUCUUCUUGGGCCUGUGCCAGGAUGUGAUGAGAAACAGGUUCGGUUGCAUGUCUUCAAGUUCCUCCUCCUCUUUCUCUUUGUCUUCAAACGACCUUUUACACAAGCCUUAUAUUAGCGGGAUAACUCAGUGAGUCUCCAAAGAGUUAAAAGGUGCUGCAUUCAGGCUUGGGCACUCAUAACUUGAUCCCUCUAUGAUGAGGCCUGCGUACAUUAAGAGCCACAUCGCAAUAAAAGACUCCGGGAGCAUUCUUCCGGCUUGUCCCUUCUUGCCCUCGAGCGAGUGAGCCAACCUAGCGUGCAGGAGCCAACAUCCGAGCCAAGGGACGCGGGACAGGACCGACACCCAAAGGAGCGGGUGUCGACGGAAAAGUGAAGGGCACGUGAAUGAUCCUGUCUGCAGUUUGCCGAGGUAUCAUCAUCAUCAUCAUCAUCAUCAGCGUCAACCCUGCAGACGGCAACCUGGAUGAGUCAAUGGGAAAGCAUCUGAUUGUGUUUCCAGAUGUUUCAAGGUCGAACACAUUCUUGGUGUGCACACGGAUGCGGACAGUUUAUUCGACAGCAUUCAUCUGUAUCCUCCAAACAGAUACAGUAUGUCUGUCUUCAACUGGACUGCAUAAAUUCCCUCCAACAAACAGGCAGGCAGGCAUGCGGGAAGACUUUCACGCCUAUCCGAUGGCGCAGGCGUUUCUCGCCAGAUGAUCCCUGUGUUGUUUUAACCGCGGCCUCUCGAACAAAAGGGGGUGGUUUUUUUUUUUGUUUUUUUCCCUUUUCUUUCUUUUUUUUUGUGCACUUGGUGGUCUUAUGUGUGAGGCGAGCCACCAUUUGGAGAGGUCACGUUCUCACAGAUUUCACAACAACCGUUUUGGAAGAAAAAAAGAAGAAAAAAAAAAGCAAUUCACAGGAACUGCUUUGUUUGCGAUUGCCACUUUCAUGAAGUUUCCAAUACGCCUUAUGUCUUAUUUUAUGGUGUAACCUUCGAUGCCCCCC